AUUGAACGCUGGCGGCAUGCCUUACACAUGCAAGUCGAACGGUAACAGGUCUUCGGAUGCUGACGAGUGGCGAACGGGUGAGUAAUACAUCGGAACGUGCCAGAUCGUGGGGGAUAACGAAGCGAAAGCUUUGCUAAUACCGCAUAAGAUCUACGGAUGAAAGCAGGGGACCGCAAGGCCUUGCGCGAACGGAGCGGCCGAUGGCAGAUUAGGUAGUUGGUGGGAUAAAAGCUUACCAAGCCGACGAUCUGUAGCUGGUCUGAGAGGACGACCAGCCAGACUGGGACUGAGACACGGCCAAGACUCCUACGGGAGGCAGCAGUGGGGAAGUUUGGACAAUGGGCGAAAGCCUGAUCCAGCCAUGCCGCGUGCAGGAUGAAGGCCUUCGGGUUGUAAACUGCUUUUGUACGGAACGAAAAGACUCUUUCUAAUAAAGAGGGUCCAUGACGGUACCGUAAGGAUAAGCACCGGCUAACUACGUGCCAGCCGCCGCCGUAACAC
rnacentral:rRNA from 1 species